UGUGUUGUUGGGUAGGGGAGCGUUCUGUAAGCCUGUGAAGGUGUGUCGUGAGGCAUGCUGGAGGUAUCAGAAGUGCGAAUGCUGACAUAAGUAACGAUAAAGCGGGUGAAAAGCCCGCUCGCCGGAAGACCAAGGGUUCCUGUCCAACGUUAAUCGGGGCAGGGUGAGUCGACCCCUAAGGCGAGGCCGAAAGGCGUAGUCGAUGGGAAACGGGUUAAUAUUCCCGUACUUGGUGUUACUGCGAAGGGGGGACGGAGAAGGCUAUGUUGGCCGGGCGACGGUUGUCCCGGUUUAAGCGUGUAGGCUGGUUUUCCAGGCAAAUCCGGAAAAUCAAGGCUGAGGCGUGACGACGAGGCACUACGGUGCUGAAGCAACAAAUGCCCUGCUUCCAGGAAAAGCCUCUAAGCAUCAGGUAACACGAAAUCGUACCCCAAACCGACACAGGUGGUCAGGUAGAGAAUACCAAGGCGCUUGAGAGAACUCGGGUGAAGGAACUAGGCAAAAUGGUGCCGUAACUUCGGGAGAAGGCACGCUGAUAUGUAGGUGAAGCGGUUUACCCGUGGAGCUGAAAUCAGUCGAAGAUACCAGCUGGCUGCAACUGUUUAUUAAAAACACAGCACUGUGCAAACACGAAAGUGGACGUAUACGGUGUGACGCCUGCCCGGUGCCGGAAGGUUAAUUGAUGGGGUCAGCGCAAGCGAAGCUCCUGAUCGAAGCCCCGGUAAACGGCGGCCGUAACUAUAACGGUCCUAAGGUAGCGAAAUUCCUUGUCGGGUAAGUUCCGACCUGCACGAAUGGCGUAAUGAUGGCCAGGCUGUCUCCACCCGAGACUCAGUGAAAUUGAACUCGCUGUGAAGAUGCAGUGUACCCGCGGCAAGACGGAAAGACCCCGUGAACCUUUACUAUAGCUUGACACUGAACAUUGAGCCUUGAUGUGUAG
rnacentral:rRNA from 1 species